UUGUGAAAACCACUAGCUAAUCUGAAAACUGAAAACAAGCAAUCUCAACCGUUAGAUUAUCUAUAGUAUAAUCUAACGGACGAAAUUCACAGAUGAUUUUGAGCAAAAGAUCGAGCGCUUUCUUUCUCUCAAAAUUCCAGAUCAAACUUUCUCUCUCCUCUUCUCCUCUCUCUCCUCCGUUUAUCUUGUGAAACUCAUAAACUUUCUCUCUCUCUCUCCUUCGUUUAUUCCAGAUCAAACUUUCUCUCUCCUCUUCUCCUCUCUCCAUCCUCCUUCGUUUAUUGCAGAUCAAAAUUCCAGAUCAAGCGAAUUCCAGAUCAAAAUUCGAGUAAGAUUUCCUCUGUUUUUUGGUUUUAGAUUUAGUUUAUUUUCAUUUACAAUUUUUGGAAGUAAAAUCAAUUGAGAUUUUAUUCUGAAAUUGAUCGAGUUUUCUUGAGGUUUCAUCUGAAAUCUAUUGUUGAUUGAAUCUAUAUUUCUUGAGUCUAAAUUUCAAAAUGACUACAUCUACUACUACUCUUGCGGUUGAUCCAACUGCUAUUCUUGGUAGUGUAAAAUCGAGGUUUUGUUUGCUCUUCAUGGUCGGAUCUGGACAACUUCGCGGUGGUGUUGUUUGUUUUGGACGGUGCCACGGUGGUGCUCAUGUGUUUUGGGUUAAUUAACCAAAAGUUACCCUAUAAAUGCGGCUCGAUGAAUUUGCUGUCUUCAGUGUCUUGUACUUGGUGACUGGCGAGAGAAAGAGAGGCAAGCUAGAAGGAAGUGGGAGCCUGAACAUCUUGUUAAGAUUGUGAAUUGCUCCCUUUCUCCUUCUCGUCUGUUUUUUUUAGCUUUUGUGAUUUUUGUUUGCAUUUCUUGUUAAUGUAUGGUUGUCUAAUUCUGUAUUUAUUUGUGUGAUUAUUAUGUUUGAACUUUUGAUUUAUCACUAAUUACUUUACUAAUUUAGUGUUUUUAGAUUUAUAGUUCAGCUUUCUGAUUAGUAUGAGAUGUUAAUACUUUGGCUUUCUGACUGGAUUGUUUUUGCAGUAUUCAACAUUAGUAUAUUAUGGCGCCUAAUGGAAAGACUAGUAAUACCAUCCAAGAAUCUUUGUUUUCAUGUAUAUGUAUUCGGACUAGUUGGGAAGAACAGUUCUUCGUGUAUGUGACUGUAUUUUUUGUAAGCCGAAUUUGUAUAUCUGGUUUACUAAUGGACUCUGCUAGUUAUUUCA